rnacentral:rRNA from 1 species
CCCCUAGAUGUUCUGGGCCGCACGCGCGCUACACUGAACAGUUCAACAAGUCUUAACCUUGGCCGAUAGGUCUGGGUAAUCUUUGAACGCUGUUCGUGAUUGGGAUAGACCUUUGCAAUUAUGGGUCUUCAACGAGGAAUUCCUAGUAAACGUAAGUCAUCAGCUUGCAUUGAUUACGUCCCUGCCCUUUGUACACACCGCCCGUCGCACCUACCGAUUGAAUGGUCCGGUGAAAUCUCGGGACGGCGGCUUGGUCGCUUGCGUCCGACUGCUGAAACUUGAUUAAACCAUAUCAUUUAGAGGAAGGUGAAGUCGUANCA